rnacentral:lncRNA from 1 species
UAGCUUCGUGUGGAAUUUUUAUCUCCAUGCAAUUUGCUGUUCUGUAGGCCGUACAAUUCUUAUCCUGUAUAAUCAGCAGUUUUCUUCUUUCGGUUACUGUGGUUUCACAUAGCGGUGUAAAUCAAGAGCUUGACCUUUCUUUUGUGGAGAAAUCGCAUCGCCAGAAUAUAUGUUCGUUCAUUCAGAUUCUGACUUGCCUCAUUUGAUGUGAGAUGUUUGUAUUUGGCCUCCAAAUCAAACGCAUGUGUCCCUUGUGCCUUUUGAGAUGACCCGAAACAGAUUUUAUCAUCUGCUAUGUACAUAAUGUACAACUGACAAGAGAUGGUGCAGAACUCUUGAAACAUUCUUUGAAAUUCUUACAAUCGUCUCUAGGACGAAGGUUUAUCAUGUAUACCCUCAUGGUAUGUUUGGUACUAGUGCCCAAGUUUGCCCUACCAAAAAUCUGUCUAGCCUAAAUUUCAGUCAAGAUUUUAUUUGCCUAUGAGUUGUCCAAUAUUUUUUUUUGCAAAAAAUAAGAGAGAAAAAACUGGAGUGAACACUCUUACAUUAACAUGUCCAAAGACAUACCAUAUUCUCUUAUAGAAAUACUAAGUAUACAACAUAGACAUGCGAACCACAUGAAUGUACUCAUACAUCAUCUACCGAAGGUUGGAUUACGAAGAAGAUUGAUCAAGUAACCACAAACACACCUUGUUGUCAACGGAAACAUACCUAGUAUUUGAUCCCUGACGGGGCUAGGGAUACAACAACCCUGCUAACUAUCUUUUUUGAGGAAACCCUGUUAACUGCCCAUGUUAAAUUACAUUUUAGUCAACGGUCUCAACUUUUCAACUCAAGCGAAGAGAGUAGGCAAACGCGAUCAAUCAAUUUUUUUGUUGAGAGGUAAUCAAUUAAUAAUUACCUGAGCAAGUGUCAAAAAAUAUUUAAUUUCCAGAGCAGGCCUUUUCGGCCCAUAUUAUGCGCGAGCCUCCUAACGGUCAAAAUUGCCCAGGCACAGAUCGUGCAGCCCAAGGCCCAUAAAUACCUAUAAACCCCCAAAACGACUUCUCUUCUCCUUCCUCUCCGCCGCCUCCCCACCGCAAACCCCGACCAGCCCUAGGGUUCGCCGCCAUGGUAAGUCCCCUCCGUCUUCCUCCCACCGCCGUCCUCCCUCCGCCGUCCGCCCCGCUGCCGAUUCGUCCCGUCCCGAGCUCGCCCCCCCUGCUCCGCUUGCUUUCUGACUGCUCUACGAUGUUCUCGCCUCGAAUUUUGCGCUGAUUUUCUCCGCGCUCGAUUUCCCUGCAGCCUCAGGGAGAUUACAUAGAGCUUCACCAGAAGCGCCAUGGCCGGCGCAUGGACUACGAGGAGCGCAAGCGCAAGAAGGAGGCGCGCGCGGUCAAGAAGAACUCCAAGGAUGCCCGCAAGGUGCUUGCCCGAUGCGACCCCUCUUUCGUAUCCCAUGUAGUAUGUUUCUGCGCGUUUCUGUUGCUGAUGCGUGUGUGGUUUUGUCUGUCGCAGUUGCUCGGUGCCAAGGGCAAGAGGUUCGCCAAGAAGCGGUAUGCCGAGAAGGCGCAGAUGAAGAAGACGUAAGUGCUCUGUGUAAUGUUUCUGAAUGACUGCUUGCUGCUGCUCCAGUUGGUACUUGCCUAGAACUAGGAGAUAUGAUGAUUGUUCGCUGUCGCAGUCGUAGUAGAUUUUUUUAGAGACGAAGGGGGCAACAACCGCCGUCCCAUUUAGGUAGAAGAUCAGUGACACGAAUAGGAGACACUCCAGCAUCAAGGAUGUUUUCCUCGUGAUGUAGAAUCAGCGUAUGUGAUUGCGGUUGUGUGGGCCUUACUCACAAUUGUUGUUCAUGCAGCCUGAAAAUGCAUGACGAGUCUUCUUCCCGGCAGAAGGUUGAUGAUGAUGUUGAGGAGGGCGCCAUUCCUUCGUAUCUGCUGGAUCGUGAUCCGACACAGCGCGCCAAGGUGCAUACGUACCCUGUUCCUACCGCCUGCCGUGAUACAGACCUUUCUUAUCGCACCAGUUGCUGAUUUAUCGUCAAUUGUAGGUUCUCAGCAACACAAUUAAGCAAAAGAGGAAGGAAAAGGCUGGCAAAUGGGAUGUUCCUUUGCCAAAGGUAUUUCUCAGUUCAAACUGCUGUUGUUUGCCUGCUUCAAAAUCAGUGGGUUCCCACUUGGCUAAAUAUUGCCACGCUUCAUCUUCUUGCAGGUCAGACCUGUUGCUGAAGAAGAGAUGUUCAAAGUUCUACGCACUGGCAAGCGGAAAAGUAAGUCAUGAUGAGAUCUAUUAGGCAACCUAGAUUACAGUUUGUAAUCUGCAUAUGUCGUGCAUUUCAUAUACAGGAAUUGCAUAAGUUUGUAAUUCCUUGGCGGUUGCUAGCCCAUUUUUUUGCUUCGGAGUGCUUUCCUAAAAGUGAAUGUGCUGCAACUGAAUUCUGCUCACUUCUGUUUUUGGUCUGAAGUUGCUUUUAACAUUCGGUGAACAAUGCACUGACUACAUAUAACUAUUUCUUCUCCACUGAACCGAAUAAUUUAGCUGGUAAAUUUUCCUUGUGCAGCCAAGCAGUGGAAGAGAAUGGUAACUAAAGCCACCUUUGUUGGCCCUGGAUUUACAAGGAAGCCACCAAAGUACGAGAGGUUCAUCCGGCCUACUGGUCUGCGUUUCACCAAGGCUCAUGUGACUCACCCUGAACUGAAAUGUACGUUCAACCUCGACAUAAUUUCGGUGAAGAAAAACCCAAAUGGUCCAAUGUACACUUCUCUUGGUGUUAUGACGAGGGGAACAAUUAUUGAGGUAUGCAAAGCAAACCUUAUCUCCACUGCAAUAGUAUUGUAGCUAAUAUACUUUCCCCCCUAUCAAUGCUUACAGUAAUGAUGCUUGUCAUUGUUCUUUGAUUUAUUUUCCUGUUGGUACUUACAAUAAUAAAUCUUCACUCAGGUGAAUGUAAGUGAACUUGGUCUCGUAACCCCUGCUGGAAAAGUUGUUUGGGGUAAGUCAUCCGUGGAAAAGCUCAGCUCCUUUUGCCCUUCCCUGUGCCUUAAGCCAUGUUCCAUAAACCAAUGUUUCUUGUCUGUGCAGGCAAAUACGCACAGGUUACGAAUAACCCGGAGAACGAUGGAUGUAUCAAUGCUGUCUUGCUCGUGUGAAGCUUUGAUACAAUUCUGGUCAAGACGGCGAGUCUGCUGUUUGUAUCCGGUCUAACAAGGGCAAUUUUGUCGGCGUUGCAGUUCGUGCUUGUCUUUGGAAUAGACCCACUUUCUAGUGUAAUGUCAAGGUGGAAUAGUCUUCUUCCCUUACUGUAACCUGCUGUAAAAUUUGAGCUAUAGAUCCGGCAAAUACUUGAAUGGAAGUCCCACCUGUCUCUGUUUUCCUUGCUCAUAUUACGUUGUGGGUUGGCUUAUUUCUACGAUUCAUCCUCCAGUAAUACAAAAAUAUCAUGCUGCAGCCGAGUGUGUUGCGAUUCUCAUCUUGGGAUCACCCACUCUACAAUGUAGUACCAGGGGGUGACAGUGCUUCCCCCUUGACGUAACCUGCUUUACAAUUUGAACUAUAAAAACAAUCAAAUCCUUGACGUAACCUGCUUUACAAUUUCAACUAUAAAAACAAUCAAAUCCUUGAAUAAAAGAUCCUCCGCAUAUCUUUUGGAUCAUCUUGUUUCUGACUAUACUUGAAUAAUGCAACAUGCUACUAAUAAUUUAUCACUGCAAAUUGGUGAUGCAGCAGCAUAGUCGUAAGAGGACCCAUAGCUUUUGUUGUUCUGAAACGAGUACGAACGCAAUUCAAGUGCCUUGUUCACUCGAGAUACAACCUACGUUACUUGUUGAUACAGGCACAACUAGGUACAACCUUGAUUCUUUUCACAAUAUAUAAACACUGGUUCCCCCGAAUGCCACAACCAAAUGAAUUUCUGAUGAACUCCAUCAAACAAACAUGUCAUGCGUGCGAUAGAUUAACUGCUUCCUCGAGUGCUACAUCUGUACAUUCAAUCAAAUAAGCAUCUGAAGCCGUCUUGGAGAUGAACACCUGAACUAUACAGGAUACUUGCCACCAAAUCACUGAUGCUUUCCUGGAUCUCGAGUGAGUGCAUCUUGUAAAAAAUGGUACAUUUGGUGUUCCCUUCCCAGAGAUGAAAUCACACGGUGAAGGCAAUGAUCCUAUGGAUGGACGUCAGCAAAUGAAAAUCCUAUCCGCUGGAGCUGUGUUGGCUGCAUUCAGAUAGUUGACAUCGACCGCAAGCUCUCCGAAAUCAUCUGCAGGACCAUUCAGAGAACUAACAGUUAGGUUUUUGACCUUUUAGUAAGCGUUCAUGUCACAGCAGCAGGUACAUUGACAAAGCAUACCUUCGUAUAUUGUUCGUACGAUCUGAACAUAGUCACGUAUCAUAUCUUGAUAAAUAAUUCCAUCUGGAUGUGCAUCCAAGACGACUAGCACCCCUGUAUGAUUGCAAAAUUGUCCACGAAAUGUCAGUUCGUAUGUGCAAAACAGGAAGAAGUUCUGCGAUCUCUUAAACAGGAACAAGGCGGAAACAUGGACAACUUCGAGUACUCAGUAGCCUGUAUCAGCAUACCUGGUGCUAACCAAACUUUAUUAUCACUGGAUGGCAAUGGAGCUAACCAAAGGAUAUUACGUAAAUUCAUGGAAUCAUCAUAGGGUACAUCAGAUUCUGUCAAGAUAGUGAAUUUUUUAAUCAAAUGCAAACACACAGUGCAAGGAAAUUUUUGAUUUAGAGUUCAUAUGCAUCUGACUAAAUCAUACCAGCCUGGCAAUAUCCCAAAUUGUAAGGGAACAAUUUCUUGUCGAAUGCUGGAUAUUCUUUGGCGUGGAACCUGUUUCAGAAAAUAAUCAACAUGACAAUACCUAGCAAUUAACAAACUGUUACUUAUACUUACCAAUCUAAAGGAGUACAUGAUAUUUCUAGUGGUAUUUUAAAGACCAUCUGUUAACAGAAAGAAAACACGCUCUUACUUAUACGUACCAAUCUAAAGGUGUAAAUGCAACAUUCAUAUAUACAUAAUGUUUCUAGUGGUAUUUUAAAGACCAUCCGUUAACAGAAAUAUUCUUUUCACAAUCCUAUAAUCUUAACCAUAAGAAAUUUGGGUAGAACUUACAGAAUCCCAAGCCUUCCUGUACCAGAUGCCAGGAAAAGAUGCCCGUGGAAUAAAUCAUAACGAGUCAGUGAAACAUUUAAUCCAACUGAUGGUCCUCGCGCAGCAAUCAAUUCAAACAGAAAUGCAAAGUAUGAAUUGAUGUCCUGAUCAUAACACAAACAUGUAAACAAUGCCGGACAUACAAGUAAAAGGAACGCCGGCUAAAAGUUGAGCCAAACACGGACCUCAUCAGCAAAGCGUCUUCCAUACGGUGUUCUUGUGAGGUGGCAUUUGCUCUUCUUCGUUCCCUCAAUAUCAGGCACCUAACGAGGAUACCGUGGUAGAUUUUGUUAGGAAAAGAAAGAACAUACUGCGGGCAUUGGUAGAUAAACUUGUGACUCUCCAUUAGUGUACCAGUUUACUCCACAGAAGCUAGUUUUUUCCCACAAUCAAUCACUCACAAACCUUAUAAAGUAAAACAAAAACACAUCUCGAAAUCCAAUAUGCAAUAUGUAGUGCCUAUCCGAAGUAUGUACAUGACAUAAAACAACAUCCUUAUCCAGAUCAUCUAAACCAAACUGAAUUCUCCACUAGAAACUCACUUCAUAACAGUAUCCCACAUUUUGAUCAAUGAUCAUGCAAAAUCAAAAUGAAUUAUCACCAGACGAAUGAACCAUUUCCCUUCUAACCAAUGCCUGCUCUCGUGCCCCUCAGGAUCUCAAAUUCCAUCGCCCCCAAACCUUCCGAGACCCUAAACGGUGCAAAAUUCCACGCCUCUGGGGAGCAAUUGAGGAAAAUGAGCACUCACCGGCAGCAUGGUGGGGUCGAGCAAGCGGUGGAUGGCCCCAGGGUCGCCUCCGGAGUCGACGGCGAGGAGCGCCAGCUCCAAGACCGGCGCCGGCGGCCACAUCACCAUCGCGUCCGCCUCGGCCGCAUCGCAGCCUUCCAGGAGAACCUUCCGGGAGCCCCUCCGGGGAUACGCGCUAGACACGGCGGCGGGGUUGGCCGGGGAGAGGAACCGGAGGCAGGAGCUCAGGCGCGAGGCCUCCCGGGCCGGCACCCGCGCCGCGGCGCGCGGGCCGGCGAGGACGGCGAGGAGGUCGGCGGCUACGGUCCGCGGAGAGGAGGAGGCGGCCGAGGAAGGGAGGGGAGAGGGUGAGGAGGAGACGGCGGCGAAGGAGACGCCGAGGGAGACGGCGGCGAAGGCUAGCUUGAGCGAGAGGGGAGGUGCCCUGAACCGGAAGCGUUCCAUCCCCUACUCCAACGGGUUGAGCUGUAGUGUGGACUACUCCAACUGCUUUUGCUUCUUGAGAAAAUCCACCCCGCAGACCACAGUACGCACAGGACAUGCAGCCAACACUUAAAUCAAACGGUGGAGCAGUGCUGUUGCCGUGCAUCACAAGGCGCGAUCGUGAAAAACGACGACCCUCAAAGUUCAGCACAAAAUGAACUCAUUUUAAAAAUAUUUCACAAAAUGAUCCUUUCUACACGCCGCCGGGCCCGGGGUGUCAUGCUAGUCAUCAUAACACCCUGGUCAAGUGCGCCAUUCAAGGCGCUGAUCUACCACGCCGACAUCGACGAUUGUUGGGCCCAUAUGUUGGCGCAUGACGCCCUAGGCAGGGGCGCUAUGCGCCUAUGCCAAUAGACAUGACACCCUAGGCCGGGGAGCCAUGUCCCUUCACAAAAAAAAAAAAC